CCUACGGGUGGCUGCAGUGGGGAAUAUUGGGCAAUGGGCGCAAGCCUGACCCAGCAACGCCGCGUGAAGGAAGAAGGCUUUCGGGUUGUAAACUUCUUUUAAGAGGGAAGAGCAGAAGACGGUACCUCUUGAAUAAGCCACGGCUAACUACGUGCCAGCAGCCGCGGUAAUACGUAGGUGGCAAGCGUUGUCCGGAUUUACUGGGUGUAAAGGGCGUGUAGCCGGGCUGACAAGUCAGAUGUGAAAUCCCGUGGCUCAACCACGGAACUGCAUUUGAAACUGUCGGUCUUGAGUAUCGGAGAGGCAGGCGGAAUUCCUAGUGUAGCGGUGAAAUGCAUAGAUAUCACGCAGAACUCCGAUUGCGAAGGCAGCAUACCGGCGCUCAACUGACGCUGAGGCACGAAAGCGUGGGGAUCGAACAGGAUUAGAUACCCCGGUAGUC
rnacentral:rRNA from 1 species